UGCGGGCAGGCGCCGGGAAGUCUCCGAGUUGUCUUCGCGACAGCAGCGUCCAUUGCGGCGUGCAUCAGGAGCCGGGGGCCCGCGCCUUU
rnacentral:sRNA from 12 species